CUCCAGGUCCUGGAAGGCCUCAGUUGGGUUCCUCUGGUGCUGGGGCACUGGUGACAGGCUUUUUGUGGCUCCUGAAGUGGGAUCCAAAGGAAAAUUCCAGCUCAUGGAAGGGAGGGCAAGGAGGACCCUGUGGGCAAGUGCAGACUGAAAGAGGAAAAAGCAACAAGUCCAUCCUGGGCUGCUUUUAAAGCAGAUUCUUUCUGGAUUUAUCUGUGGCACACCCUGCCCAGCAGGAGGGAAGAGGAGAAACCUCAGAAUUCCAGCAGAACCAGCCAAGAUGAGCGCUAAAUCCAUCCUUUGCACCCGGACACGAGGGAGAUCCGUGACAAAGCUUCCAUGGAAAAGCAAAACACACCCAGGAUCCCAACAAGGCCCUUUUGUGCUGCUGUGUUCUGACCAAAACGAAGCUGCACCUUCUGGCUGUCCAGGCUGACAUCCAGGCAGCUGGAAGCUCUCAGGAAAACUUGGAAGCUGCCAAGUCACCAUUUCCAGCAUGACCUGAGUCCAUGAAAUAGCCAAAGGGUUUUGUUACUGCAUCAUCUGCAGCAUUCCUGCUGCUGCUGCACCUCCAGGCUCGGAGCCAGCUGGGUUUAUGUGGCACUGGUGGCAGCACAAACUGGCCUUUGGAAAGAUGGAACUUCUCUCCUUAUCCUGCAAAUUUGGUUGAGAAAACUCCACAUUUAAAAGGAGCCAAAGCUGCUGCUUCAGGAGUGACUGGAAUGUCCCCUCCGUGCCCCUGAUUCCUUUCACGUCCCUCAAGGUUAUGAUUUUUUAAAUUAUAAUUAAAAAAACCAGCUCAUCUUAAGAGGAUCAGUGAAAUGCCAGCUGUGAAUUGUGAUUCCUGCCUGGAUUGCCAUUUUCUGGAUGGGUUUGGAGUCAUGGAAAGGGGAGCUUUGGGAAGUUCAGCUACAACAGGACCUGGCUGUGGUCCCCUGGUGCAGGAAGCCACCCUUGGCUUGGUGGCUGCUCAGGGGAGGGAUGACCUUCCAGCCCUGCUGGGCAUCCCUUGGUCUCAUCCUGCUCCUAAAUCCCUCUGGAAGAGAAACCUCACCCUCUGGAAGCUGAUCCUUGAGAAAAUCCCGUGGGACUGGCAACCCUGGAAGUGCCAAUUGGGGUUUUGUUACAGAAGGAAAGCAAAAUGGGUUUUUUCCCCUCCAUCAAAUGACAUCCUAAAUGUUGUCUCCUCCUUGUCCACAGGGCAUGGAACAGUUGGGAUUGUUUGGAUCACAAAAUCCAAUUAAAGCAGGCAGAGAGGUUGGGCUGAAGGCUGCUGCUCCCUUUCCUGCCAGCACCACCCACCUCCCUUCCCUGGAAAAGCCAAAUCCCAUUACCCCAGGUGGGAGCAGCUCCUCCCUGCUCGGGCCAGCCAACCCUGGAGGGUGGAAAAGUCCUGCAGCACCAUUCCAGCAUC